CUUUAACGGCAACCUGCUUAUUUUUAUAAGAUGAAGCAAGUAUCUUGAACACCUAAGUUGGACUAAGCUCUUCAGGCCAUUGCCUGAAGAGAUCAUAUGUCUGGUUCCUAGUAAUAUGGUGAUUUAAUCACGACACGGGCCUCCACAUGCUACUACAAUACAAAUAAUGUAGCAGUUAAAAGACUUUCAAGCUUGUUUCAAGGCAUAUUUUGGAUCUUUCAAAAGAGUUGGAGCAGAAAAGGAUUGUGUCUAGUGACUUGUAACAAUGUGCCUCAAAUUUAAAGGAAAUGACACAAGAUACAAUUAAACAACUGGAUAAGUCACAGCUUUGGUGGCAUUGGUUUUGGCCUAAAUUGAGGAAACCGCUGCAGUUGACUGUUGAACAGCUUAUCCAAUGGAGAGGACAGAGGCAUAAGAUCUCCCACACAUUUGUAAGAAAGGGUUGUAUUCCUUCUGACUACACAGCUGACUGGCUUCCACUUCUGAGUGGACAUGGAAGGAGAAAGAUUUAAUGAAUGCUAACCAAGCAAACUAUGAGGAAAGAGCAUAAGCUCCAAAGCUGCAUUCCAUGCUACAGCCACCUUAAAUACAUGACACUCACAGAGACACACAGAUAAGGGUCUUCAGCCAUUUCUUAUUGAAAAUGAAGUUUUCUGGACCCACUACAUGUGGUUUUACUCUACAACUGAACAGGCUUCUAAAAUCCUUAAGAAGAGGGGUUAGGUGCAAAUCUCAUGUGAUCUGCACCUGGAGAGAAAUAACUGAUCUUCAGCUGUGAAUAAGUAUCCUCAGUAUUUUGUGCUUUUUUCUGGCUAGGAAUGCUCAUUACCAAUGCUAUUUUUGUGUUUAAACAAGGACUUCUUGCUUUA